CCUACAAACCACCGUCCUAUGCUGUCUAGCUACACUCUCCUGCCAACACCUUACAGUCUGUAAUUUCUUUUAGCUUGCAAUUGCAUCUCCUACAGAGAAUGUAGUCCACUGGGUGCACCUUCCUUCACUCUUAUGUCACCCUGUGCUCCUCCCUUUUCCUAAAGUAAUUUAGCCAUUUCCAUCCUU